AUAAAAUAAUAAAGAGGAGGCCUUUCCUGCUGCAUCAGCUCUCUCUGAGCAGCGUUCCUGGGAAGUUCCAUGGAACACUUCUGCUUAUCUCAUUGGUCAUAACUCAGUCAGAUGCACACACUGAGCUGCAAGGGAGGCUGAGAAGUAUAGUCUCUUAGUCCCAGAUACAAUAUGUAUAAAAUUCAGAACAAGGGUCCUUUUACUAAGGAGGAGGAAGAGACUGGAUGUUAUGGAUAUGGGCAGCAAGCAGUGUUUUCAAAGUACUGAAACAGAUUGUAGAACUUUGUAAACUGGCUGCCUUUCUACUCCUCUGCUCACCUCUAACCAAAGAGCCACCUAAUUGUUCUGCAUGGUGACCAUUGCCUGUUAGAUUCUUGGUGAAUAGAUUCCUAGCCUCAUCUUUUGUUAUUUUUAUUUUUUUAAUAAAUGGUAGAAUGAGGAUGCAGGAAACUUGGAAAAGCAGAGUCAAAGUUCAACUAGCACAGGAGCAGAAGGUAAAUUCUGUUGGCUUAUAGAAUGAGCCCAGACCCUGGUGUCAGAAGACCUGGGUCAGUUCUGGUCUGUCCUCUCCUGGGACUCAGUAAAGUCUCUUGGCUCUCUGAGCUUUCCACAUCAGUAAGAUGGGGAAUGACAACCCUUAUGGGACUGCAGUGAGGCUUAGCCAAGUUGGUGCUGUGGAAGGCCCUACUGGAUUCCAAAGCAUGAUACAGAUGAUGAAUACUUUAUGUGGCUGAGGUGCUUCCAGCAGGCACGUGGGAAGCAUCCAUGUAAGAUUGGGGUCAUGCAAAAUGGGGUGGGAUCACAUCGCGGGAUGAAGCACUUGGAUGCAAAGGCCUGUGUGGUCCAGCCUGAGUCUGGCUCAACACACAGGGUCGGAUCCUGGCUGCGCUCCUUACUGCUGUAUGUACAGAUUUGGCUCAGAGGGAAUGCAGGAUUGGCAACAUGCAUCUAGUCUUUCUUGUGGUCUCCUGGUGCCUCUCAUGGUGUGCUUAUUCUUAUUCUGCUACGGAGAGUGUGACUUAAGCAUGUAAUUUGCAUAUAGCGUGGCUCCUGAAUGCAAGCCACUAACCCAUUAUUUUACUUAGUAAGUUCCAGUGUUGGGGCUUGGGGGAUGGUGUGUCCUUUGCCAGUGAAUGCUUAUGUUGGUACAUUUCAAGGGUUAUUUUGCUUAUGCACCCUCCCCACCCCCGUCAACGUUAGAGCUUAGCAUCAUAUGAAAGGCAGUGUCCCUGUGACUGUAUCAUAGGGUUGAUGAGGAUGAAAUGAAGUAACUGCAGGCAGUGUCCAGCCCAGUGCCCAGUGCUCUGUCCAGGCUCAGUGAGUGACCUUUGCUGCUGCUGCUGCUACUGCGUCCAGCUGGCUACAUGGGGCUGGUGGCAGAGGGUGACUCAGUUCUCAGUGUGUCUUUUCCUGCCCCCUGCCAGGUUGCUUCCCCUAGCCUAGUUCCCUUUUUUUGUGAAAUGCUCAUCCCUCAGCUCUGGACUUCAAUGUACUGUUGGUUUCAAAACCUUAUGAAACACAACAUCAAUGGGGGAAGGGAGAAGAGAGAAGCUGAGAAGCCUAACCCAACUCUGACAGCUGAGCGGCUACAGAGGACUUCUCAGUUGGGCUUCAAUACUUCUUAAGAACUUUCAAGUUAGGCCUCAGAUGUGAUUUUGUUUGCUGACUUUCUCUUUGCUACCUUGGCUUCUAUUUAGUUAACAAAUCUAGGCCGGGUGCGGUGGCUCACGCCUAUAAUCCCAGCACUUUGGGAGGUGGAGGCAGAGGUGGGUGGAUCGCCUGAGGUCAGGAGUUCAAGACCAGCCUGACCAACAAGGAGAAACCCCAUCUCUACUAAAAAUACAGAAUUAGUCGGGCGUGGUGGCACAUGCCUGUAAUCCCAGCUACUCGGGAGGCUGAAGCAGGAGAAUUGCUUGAAUCUGGGAGGCGGAGGUUGCAGUGAGCCAAGAUCAUGCCAUUGCACUCCAUCCUGGGCAACAAGAGCAAAACUCCAUCUCAAAAAACAAAACAAAAACAACAAAAAACCCCAAAUCUAAUUCAUUCAUUCAGCGUGCACAAUUUAUUCAACACAGUUUGUUCCAAACACUGGGGAUAUGCCCCAAACAGACCAAGUUCCCUGUUUCAUGGAGCUUACGUUUGGUGGAAGAGAGACAAAUAUAGAAACAAAAGUGUAGGCUCAGCGGAUGUUCCUGGGAUACAAGUACCUGUUCAUCUUGUUGACAUCUAAUCUGUAUCUGCGCAUAGUGACCAAGGAUAAGCCACUGAGCUGCUCCAAACGUGUGCUAUGGGAUGGAUUAACUGUGUGGGUGUGGAAAUCCCUCAGAAUGAUGAGACAGGGAGCAGUGGAGAGGAAGACAGUCGAUCAUUGAUCGGUGAGCCUGUACUUGAGAUCUGGCCUGGAUAGUUGUGAUGGUAGGUGGUACCCACAAUGAUGGCCCUUCAGGGGAUUUGAAGAUUGUGAAGGAGGACCAAGAGGAGCUGUUUGGACCACCUGUGAUCCAAGGCGGGAACUAGGAAGACACCUACCGGAAGUCUUUGUGGAUCUUUUGGGAUUGGAUUGGAUUAGCAGAUACAGAGCGUUUGACCUAUAGUAACCAGCUGACUGUUCAGCAAACGCUUCACUUCCUAAAAGGCUUCUUCUUUCCAAGGCAAACUGGGGCAUGUGAGGAACAGGAACUUACAAGA
rnacentral:lncRNA from 10 species